AAAUUGAAGAGUUUGAUCAUGGCUCAGAUUGAACGCUGGCGGCAGGCCUAACACAUGCAAGUCGAACGGUAACAGGAAGCAGCUUGCUGCUUUGCUGACGAGUGGCGGACGGGUGAGUAAUGUCUGGGAAACUGCCUGAUGGAGGGGGAUAACUACUGGAAACGGUAGCUAAUACCGCAUAACGUCGCAAGACCAAAGAGGGGGACCUUAGGGCCUCUUGCCAUCGGAUGUGCCCAGAUGGGAUUAGCUAGUAGGUGGGGUAAA
rnacentral:rRNA from 1 species